GUCCAGGGGGGCACUGGUCCCAGCCUUUUCCCAUGAGGGCCUGCUGUUAGCCAAAGUCCUGAACUGCCUCCCUUACACCUCCCUCAUGCCCCAGGGGUUGGGAGCCUUGUCAGACGCAGCUGUCAGACGUGUGGACGGUGGUCUACACCUAGGACAUGCUGCUGCAGGGGAGGCUGCUGCCUGAGGCCACCUGGCUGGCUUAUCGUCUGGGUGACUGGAAGACUGCAGCCUCCCUGGCCUGGCCUACACCACCUACUCCACAGAUCACUGCGACUUCACCGGUCUCAGGUGGAGAGAACUACAUCUCCCAGCAGCCUUUUGAGCCUGGGAGAAUCUUUCAGGGUCAGCUGCAGUCUCUACUGGGCAGGAACGCCGGGUCAGAGGAGACCCAUGGAGAUGAGGAUAACUACGAAAGCUUCACAAGUGUGUUGUGCCUGACGACUUUCUGGAGGAUGAGGACAUGGAGUUCCUGAAUGCGUCAGUCAUGUCUGAGGUAGAUGUGUUGUCUCAGCCCCCUGGGUGCUCUGCUGAACUCAGCCAAAUACCUGUCCUCCUGCCUCCCUGCUCUGGUGCCUAUGGGCCUGUACCUCCCUGCCCCUCCUUUCUACUGCCUCCAGCCUGCACACAACACACAGUUAGGACCCGUCAGGGGUGUUAGGGCAGCUGUUGGAGGGGACGUCGUGUCACAGGGUGUCAGGGGUCCUCCAGAGGGUGAUGCUGCUCCUGAGAUCUGCCCAGUGGUACAUCAGCCACCUGCGACGCUCUCGACAUCGCCUACACAAGAUCCGUCAGUAGUACGCCCAGCAGCAGCAGCAGUGUGUGGCCAAGGCCUUUCUAGAGGCUCUGAUGAAGUUUGUGAACCGCGGUGGAUUCUUCAGACUGGGACCCAGUGGGGACGGAACCUUGGACUCGGUCACUAUACAAACUAUUAUCUGCUUUAGCGAGCUGUGUGGCCUGUGCCGGAUGCUGCAUGUUAGCUCUCAAUGUCUUGCAGGAAGUAUCAGGCUGCAAGGAACCGUGGGAGAGAUCCCCAGGUCCCAGCAUAUGACGGUGAGGUGGCAGCAGCCUGUGACGAGGCUCUCCACUGGGCCUGUCGUUUCCUUCCCUUCUCCCGCUUCCUCAACGCAGAGGAGAUCCUCCAGGACACCCUCCUCAACUUGGUCUCUGAUCUACCCCUGGUAAACCUGACCAGCAGUCACAUUUAGACCAGAGGACUCCAUCAUACCCCCGCAAGAGAGCAAUGAGGACAAGCCUGAAGAGCCUGUUCUUGGGGAGGGCUUUGUCUUUCCUCUUGGGACCUUUGACUCCACCAUGCUGACUGGUCAGGGAUUGUUGGACAGGGCUCUGUCUACUGCAGCUGAGCUCCAUGCCUUUGCCGCCACACACAAGAGACCUCCUGGGAGCCACGAUGCCUGCGUCAACACAGACCCAGCUUCUCCUCACUCAGAUGAAGCCGUUUCUGCCCAACCUGCUGUCACUACUGCUGUUUCUGGACCUGCCACUCUCCCUCCUGAAUUGUUCCUGAAUCUGCGGUUCCCUAGAGACCCUCCUGUCCAGGACACAGAGACACCACGGGAGACCCAAUUAGAGAGGAACACGGAGUCGCUAGAGCGCGAUGGAACAAGGAAUUCCCAGCCGGUCAAACUCUCCCCUAACCCGGACGACGCUGGGCCAAUUGUGCGCCGCCUCAUGGGUCUCCCGGUCACGGCCGAACCCGGGUCUGUAGUGACGCCUCAAGCACUGCAAUGUUUCAUGCAUUUUAAUCGCUAUGUAAUGGUCUUAUCUCUCUCUCUCCCUGACUCUCAGGAUGUGCAGGGUCGUCAGUUCAUAAAUGUGAUAGAUCUGGAGGAUGGGGCUCUGCUACAGGAGUUGCCUGCGGUGCGGGACCGGGACGUCACCCCCUUUCAGCCCUCUCCCCCCACCUCUGCACAACUCCACCUGCUAGCAGCCUCCGUCACUAACUCAGCCCCUCCGGAACUCACUGCAGACACCAGAGCAGAGGAUGACCUACCCCAAGCUCAGCCAGGUAGUCUGAGUCAAUAUCAUCUAUUCACUCUGCUACAAUAACAGUAGAGUUGUAGCUACGUUUCUCCAAAUACAGUAUUGUCUGUCUGUAA